UCAUCCUACAAGUUUUAAGAGCAUUAAUGGAGGUUUCUAUGCAGAAAAUUAUGAAAAAGACCAAGUAAAAGCCUCACAUGAAGACUUGGAGAAGCAUUCUACAGUUACACAUCGCAAAAUUGAAGAACAUUUGUAGAAAGCAGAUAGAAUAUUCUUGUUAACUCCGAGAAAUGAACUCCCACAUGACCAACAAAAAGCAGCUCCACAUAUGUUCUUCUUGAUGUACUUGAAACACACCGUUAGUCACUCGUGACCUUUUCUUGUGGUAGUGAUAAUGGCUGCAAGCACUCCGACGAUCAAGUCGGUAAUACGAUAAAUGGAAAUGGGUAAGAGUAUCUCCAAGAGACUCUUUAAAUACAAAAUAUUCUUUAUUUUAGAUAGUUAAUACUUAAAAGUUAAAAAAGAGCUCCAAGAGACUCUCCAUUUUAAAGAGUGUGUUUGACUCUCCAAAUUUAGAGAGUCAAACUCAAUCUCUAUUCUUAAUGUAUAAUGAUUGCAUUUAACUCAUUACAAAUUUCAAUAUUCUACAAUUUAAAAAUUUUAAAUUACAUUUGAAUUGAUUGGUUAUUAAUAUAUAAAAAAUUAUACAUAAAUAAAAUAUGUGGAGAAAUUAUUAAAUGUCCAUUGAAAAAACAAAAUAAAGAAUCAAAGUAGACAACUUGUUAGAGUGUAUAAAAAAAAAUUACUCUCUAAAUUUAUAUAUGCUCUCUAAUAUGCAUAAGAUGCUCUUUAUAAAUAGAAAGUAUUUUGGAUAUGCUCUAAUUUUGAUAGCAAGAAUUGUCGGAAUUUAUAUACCAUAAUAGUAUGGGGAGGAGAUAAUAU
rnacentral:lncRNA from 1 species